rnacentral:rRNA from 1 species
GACGAACGCUGGCGGCGUGCUUAACACAUGCAAGUCGAGCGAUGAAGUUCCUUCGGGAAUGGAUUAGCGGCGGACGGGUGAGUAACACGUGGGUAACCUGCCUCAUAGAGGGGAAUAGCCUUCCGAAAGGAAGAUUAAUACCGCAUAAGAUUGUAGUAUCGCAUGAUAUAGCAAUUAAAGGAGUAAUCCGCUAUGAGAUGGACCCGCGUCGCAGUAGCUAGUUGGUGAGGUAACGGCCCACCAAGGCGACGAUGCGUAGCCGGCCUGAGAGGGUGAUCGGCCACAUUGGGACUGAGACACGGCCCAGACUCCUACGGGAGGCUGCAGUGGGGAAUAUUGCACAAUGGGGGAAACCCUGAUGCAGCAACGCCGCGUGAGUGAUGACGGUCUUCGGAUUGUAAAGCUCUGUCUUCAGGGACGAUAAUGACGGUACCUGAGGAGGAAGCCACGGCUAACUACGUGCCAGCCGCCGCCGUAA